rnacentral:rRNA from 1 species
UACAGAGGUCCCAAGCGUUGUUCGGAUUCACUGGGCGUAAAGGGUGCGUAGGUGGCUUGGUAAGUUCGAUGUGAAAUCUCCGGGCUUAACCCGGAAAUGGCAUUGAAUACUAUUGAGUUGGAGGUUUGGAGGGGGGACUGGAAUUCUCGGUGUAGCAGUGAAAUGCGUAGAUAUCGAGAGGAACACCAGUGGCGAAGGCGAGUCCCUGGACAACACCUGACACUGAGGCACGAAAGCUAGGGGAGCAAACAGG